rnacentral:sRNA from 1 species
UAACUAUGUAUUAGGUAUCAGCGAUGUG